GACCCCAGGCUCAGGCGGGACUACCCGCUGAUUUUAAGCAUAUCAAUAAGCGGAGGAAAAGAAAACUUACUUAGAUUUCCAAAAUUAGUAACGGGAGCGAACGGGAACAGCCAGCUGAAAUCGGCGGCUUCGUCGUCCGAAUUGUAGUCUG
rnacentral:ncRNA from 1 species